rnacentral:rRNA from 1 species
AACAGGGAUUGCCUCAGUAACGGCGAGUGAAGCGGCAAGAGCUCAAAUUUGAAAUCUGGAGCCUUUCAGCUUCCGAGUUGUAAUUUGAAGAGGGUGUUUCGGUUGCGGCCCUGGCCUAAGUUCCUUGGAACAGGACGUCAUGGAGGGUGAGAAUCCCGUACAUGGCUGAGGGCUUGCUUCUAUGUGAAACCCCUUCGAAGAGUCGAGUUGUUUGGGAAUGCAGCUCAAAAUGGGUGGUAAAUUUCAUCUAAAGCUAAAUAUUGGCGGGAGACCGAUAGCGCACAAGUAGAGUGAUCGAAAGAUGAAAAGCACUUUGAAAAGAGAGUUAAACAGUACGUGAAAUUGUUGAAAGGGAAGCGCUUGCAAUCAGACUCGCUUUCGGUUGAUCAACGUUCCUUUUGGUUCGUGCACUCUGCCGUUUGCGGGCCAGCAUCAGUUGGGGCGGUGGGACAAAGGCGGUGGGAAUGUGGCUCCCCUCGGGGAGUGUUAUAGCCCAUCGUGCCAUGCCACCAGUCCCGACUGAGGUCCGCGGUUCGCCUAGGAUGCUGGCUUAAUGGUUGUAAGCGACCCGUCUUGAAACACGGACCAAGGAGUCUAACAUCUACGCGAGUCUUUGGGUGUCAAACCCAUGGGCGCAAUGAAAGUGAACGGAGGUGGGAGUCCUCGGACGCACCAUCGACCGAUCCUGAUGUUCUCGGAUGGAUUUGAGUAUGAGCGUAGCUGUUGGGACCCGAAAGAUGGUGAACUAUGCCUGAAUAGGGUGAAGCCAGAGGAAACUCUGGUGGAGGCUCGCAGCGGUUCUGACGUGCAAAUCGAUCGUCAAAUUUGGGUAUAGGGGCGAAAGACUAAUCGAACCAUCUAGUAGCU